AGUAACGGCGAGUGAAGCGGCAACAGCUCAAAUUUGAAAUCUGGCUCUCGGGCCCGAGUUGUAAUUUGUAGAGGAUACUUUUGAUGCGGUGCCUUCCGAGUUCCCUGGAACGGGACGCCAUAGAGGGUGAGAGCCCCGUCUGGUUGGAUGCCAAAUCUCUGUAAAGUUCCUUCAACGAGUCGAGUUGUUUGGG
rnacentral:rRNA from 1 species